CCUAUAGCCUGGAUGGGUAUAGGAGGCUAGAGCAGGACUGGAGGCUGGGGCAGGUGGAAAGUGUUGGCUGUGGUUGGUGAGAUUAAUAGGUGAAGUAGUUUGUGUAUGGAAGACUUUGAAAACUUGGCAGACGAGUGUGGCUUUAAUUCAGCUGAUAACAGUGUGGGUUUCUGAACAUGAUCAAAGUGUGUGUUGUUUGACAUAGAUCUUGCAGGCUGCUGCAUAAAAAUGGAUUGAAGGGGAGGAGGCUGAGAGAGGAAGCAGCAUUCCCUUAUGACAGAGAAAAAAGAGACCAUGAAGGACUGUUUAAUCUAGCUUCAUGCUUCCAAGAGGGCUAAUUUCUAAAUUACCAAAGUCAAGUCACUGAUUUUAUUUUUCAAAAAUUUGUCCAUAGGCAUCGAUUCUAUAAGCAACUGACUGGACCUCUUGUUUAAUUACUGUCAUACAUAAGAAGCUGAUUUGCUUAUUUGCUUUUAAAAUAAUGUGUGUAUGUCAAGACGCUAUAACCAAAUAUAUUAUGUAUCACAGCAUAUUUGGAAAAAAUAGAAAAAUCUGUGGAAGAGAAUAAAUCAUCCAUAAUGUCAGAAACGAUAGUAUGUUUGGGGGAGUAUUUCCUCCUGGAAGCAGGAGACAGUAAGUACUACAUUUAUUUACUUCAAUUUAGAAGAAAAAGAAAGGAAGAGAAAGCCUGAGCUCCCUGAAAAGGACAACUUUCAGAAGAAACAGGGAGAGGCGGAAACAAGAUUAAGGAUCAAGAGCAAUGAAAAGAAAGCAGAGGGUCUUGAAGAUUUACCGAACAGUUGGGAGAGCUUGGGAGGAGCCUCUGCUGGGCAGCACAGGGCUUCACAGAGCUGAAUAGGCGGAGAGGUUUUAAGGCAGUUCAUCUGUAUGAUACGUGAUGCGAUCCCCCUUGAAAGGACUUCCCUAAGGACUCAUGCUAUGUUUCAAGCCUGCGGAAAGCAGAAGUUUCUUAGUUCUCCUGUGGUACAGCGGCUUAAGGAUGUUAAGUGGUGCUAACAUGGCAGCAGUUAACAUGGAAGUUCCUGGGACAGGAACUUACUGUCUCUAAGUAUUUUUCAUCACUUUACCCACUGCCCCAUCCAUGAGAUGAAGGCCGAGAAUUAAGCAAUUCAGCUAAAGAAUUUUUCUUGGAAAAGUUGGGGAGGGUAGAAGAUGGUGAAAACUCUGUUUGCGUAAUAUUGCACCUGCCACCCAAACAGAUGGGAGGCGACCCAUAUUACUAAGAGACUGGAUCCCCUUAAUCCAGAUUAUCUACUGAUUAACUUGGGCAAAGAGCAUCUCUGGAAAGUAGAAAGCUGAUUACGGCUAGUAAAUAAACAGACUCUAAACUCUAGUAGGUGCCGAAAGAAAACUCUCCGUUGAGUUGGCUCCUUGGUUGAUGUUUUCUGCCACUUAGAAGCAAGUGUUUGGACAUACGGAUUUACAAGAUGAAAGGCUCGUGCCAAGCCUGGGGCCCCAAAUAUUGAGCAAGGCCAUAUUGCUUCAUAUGGUUGUUCUACGCAUUUCAGGAACUUCUGGGUGUUGUCUGAGGGCUGAAAUGAUGACUUGCCAGCCUCAUGUUCUCUUAGUGGUCACUAUCAGCAAACCCCACCUUUGAGCAUGUCAGGUGCAUGGUCCAGGGCUCGUGUUAAGUGUUAUGACAACUGGACGGCUGGAUGUGGUCUUACCCUGAAAAUGUCUAUGGGUCUUCCUUGGAGUUUCCAGGCAUCCCCAGAGAAACCUUUCUCCCCUACGCUUCCUUGGAUCUGUGGAAUUGUUUCCGUUUAUGCUUUGUCCCUUGGUCUGUCCCACGGUUGUAUAUAGUCCUGGCUACCUAUAAUUAUAUCUUCUACUGUGGAGCUUUGCCCUAUUCUGUCUUCACGGUUUCUUCGGGAAUUCCUUGAGCACAGAAUAUAGCUCUUCCCUUUUGCCAUCACAGAUGGACCAUAAGGCCGGCAUUGGCAGUCUACAAAAAGGAUUUCAGCCAUGGAUGAUCAGUAUUUAAAGAACGACAAACAGCUAACUAAUGGGAAGGAAUGAACUCUACGCUAAAAUUAUCCCCAGAUACCAGAGAGAUGAGGUUGAGGACAUAUAUUUUAAUUGAGGUUGAGGACAUAUAUUUUAAUUGAAAGAGGUAAUGACGACGGGAAGGAUAUGGCUCCUUCCCACUUCUAUCAAGAUCCUGAAUUUAUGAAAAAAGGCAAAUUAUAAAAGAAAUUGGUUUGUGGAAGUGUUCCUUUACAGUCGGAAGGAACUUUAAAAAUUACCUUGAGCAGCUUCCUGACCCCAUGGAUAAAGACCCAAGGCCUAGAGCAAUGGAAUAACUUGUUCAAGGUUCCUCUGGCCAGUGGCUGGAAGUUUUGUUGGGUAUUUAACAUGUAUCAGAUAUUAUUCUAGAUCCCACAUAAGCAGCCACAAAUGAAGUCAAGGUCAUUGCCCUCUUGGAGUUUAAACAUCAGUGGGGGAGGCAGAUAAUAACCGAUGAACAAGAACAUUUGAAACAGUGAUGAUGCUUUGGACAGUAUCAAAGGAGGGAUGUGACAGGGAGAUGGAAGAGGUUCUGAAGACAGGACAUGGGUGCCAAGGCCUCAGGGUAAGAAGUACCAGCCUGUAACGUGGUGUGAGUGAGUGCAUGGGGGCACCACAGCCCUGCCAGUGCCUCCCAAGAAAGCAGUUCAUCAUUUCCAGGGAGGAUUUGUCAUCUCCUUACAUGCUUUUCAGAAAGGUAAGCAAAACCCAUGUUAAAGAUAGUCUGCAGAUAGGUAUCAUGCAACAAAAACUACCAUGUGUCAGAGCAGGUCCUAGAGUCCUGAAAAAGGGAAUUUCCAGAGCAUCCAUUUCCUGCCUUUGAGGAGCUAAGAGGCUAAUGAACGUCUUGUCAUUACACAAGCAACCUCCUGGGUCUUGACAGUUGCUCUGAGAUCUCUCCAAGUAGAAGGAAGGGAGGCAGCUAAUUUGACUUAAACAGGGUCCAGUCAAGAUCCAUUCCUCUUCUAAAAAGGGCUCUUAGUCAUCGUACUCAGGGCUUUAGCUUUGUAUUUUAUCUACCCAUAUAUUGGUGGUUAACUUCAUUACAUAGGAGAAGAAAGUCAAUAUAUAUAUAUAUAUUCGUAACAUUGACUCUAAGACUGAUACUAAUCAUUGGAAACAAAUGAGAAAAGCCAAUGAAAUUUCCAUGAGCAACUGCCAAUAUUGCAAAGCAUUUUUUUUUCUUUUUAAAAAUAAGAUUUAGCUAAAUAUAUUGGGAUUGGAUGUGAAAAAUUCAAGCUUCCUCUUGAUUUUUACUCUUUAGUCUGUGAUCACCUAAGGAGCCACUCUGAAAGGGACUGAUAGAUAUUUAGUGUUGAGAAUAAAAAAUACAUUUUGUUAGAAAUGUUAUCUCCAUACCAACUUUCAGAGAAAAUUUCUCCCAGAUCAUAUGGCCUUCCCAUGAUCAUUGAAAAAAGAAAAAAUAUAUAGUCAUAUUUAAAGUUUGGAGAAGAGAGUCUUAGACUUAUUUUUUUAAAGCCAGUUUAAUGGAGAUCUUGGGGUUCUUUAAGAUAUUUCUUUUUUGUUUGUUUUAUUGCUUUUUAGGGCCACAGGUGUGGCAUGUGGAAAUUCCUGGACUAGGGGUUGAAUCAGAGCUACAGCUGCCAGCCUGUGCCACAGCCAUAGCAACUCAGAAUCUGAGCCUUGUUUGCAACCUACACCACAGCUCAGGCAACACCGAAUCCUUAACCCACUGAGUGAGGCCAGGGCUUGAACCCAAAUCCUCAUGGAUGCUAGUCAGGUUCAUUACAGCUGAGCCAUAAUGGAAGCUCCCUCUUUAAGACAUUUCUAAAGAAACUUUAUAAUGAUUAAAAAUUGUUUUCAGUCCUACUGCAAAAACAUUCCCUACAUUGUUGAAGGGGAUGAGAUGACUAUAAAAAAAAAAUCUAGGAAAGUUUCAUAGCCUCAAAAAUGUGAAAAAUCCACGUGGCCUAAUCUUCUCCCAGGAAGCGAGGCUUUGUAUCCAGCCUUGACCUGUGAGAGCUAGAGCAUGGUCUGUUGUUGGCUACUCCAUAACUUUGUGAUGUGAUUGUCACAAAGCACAGGGUUUCUCAGAAGGUGUGAGUGGUGGAAGAAAGGGCGAGAAUGCAAAAGUGUAUAUUCCUCUGGGAGUGUAAUAGAACCUCGAAGCUUCCAACCAGAAAAUAAAACACGAGGUAGCAAAGAUGCUAUUUCUCCUGUGCAGGUGUGAUAAGGAGAUGGCAGAAGCUCCGUGAAACUGAUCAUGGGUUCACAGAUAUUUUCUUUGGAUACAAUGUGUAGUGCUCUGGGAUUCUCUAGUCUCUUUUGCUCUCACUCCAAGCUUGGCUUUGGGAAGGGGGAGAAGGUCACCUCUUAGGCAAAUGGGGAGUGAAGAUUCAAGGUCAGACAUCUGACUUUGGUCUGGCACCCUCCAUUUGCAGGCUUGAGUCCAUGGCUAGGUCAGGCUGGGUUGGCAGAGCAAAGGCAGGUGCAACUCUUUGGGAACAAACAUGAUGACAGAGUGAAAGUGAAGGAUUUCCUUGGAUGGGUCUCACAGGGAAGAGUCGGUUUGUUCAGGAGGAUAGUCUGGAGAGAGGAAAGGACCCCUCAGGGGCAAACACUUCUGAAGCCUAGAGGCUGAGGGGGUGUGAAGCGGCCAGCCAGAACAGGGGUAUGGUCUGUUCAAGGGCACUGUGGCCCCAGGCUACAGCUUGGUUCUCUGCAGAACUUGCCCAAGCAUCCCACAGAAAUAAAAGCCAACCUCAGAGAGCCCUCAUGCCCAAAGAGCAUCGAUACCAAUUUAUAUCUGUACCUUUUCUCCCGAAACUCUACCCCUGGGCCUGGUCACAGGGUGGGUCAGAAACAUGAACUGGUCAGGGGGAGAGAGAUAAUGCCCGGAAGAAAGGGGCCAAUCCUUUGCUCUCCCUUCCUCGCAACAGAACCCCAGGGGGACAUAGGCCAAGAUGCAGUGAUGGGGAGAGGGCCAGUUUUAACUUUAAAUGAGUUUGGAGUUUUGUUGCUCUACUAGAACAGACUGGACUUAGUGCUUGAAGGCAGCCAGAGAACUUUUCUCAUCUAAGUACUAUUAGAAACCAGAGACAUUCCUAAAAUUUCAUCUCAGGGUCAGGAGAGAACAGAGGAAGGAGUUUAACAGGCAAAGAAAAAGCAAAUGAAGUUGGUUUCUAGAUUAGUGAAUAAGCUGGCUCCCUGGCUUGAACACACACUGAGAUUACGUGGCUUUUGGGUUCCAUGGAAAAGGUCGACAAUAUUGGCUUUACUUGCAUUUUCUCAGUGUCAGUGUCUGUAAAGUGCUUAGCAUAGCACAAGCCCUCCAUAACCUACUGGAUUAUUUUGCUAGUUAUCUUUAAUUAUCAUUACAGGGCAUCUGAUUUAAGACAUAUCCAGCUAGACUCUCAAAGAAGCAGGGCCGGUUCCAGGCCUCAGUAGAGGGAGCUCUGAAGCCAUCCCUCUCAGGGGGAAGGGGUGGCGGGCCCUGGGCAAAUGAUUUAAGUGAUGCAUCAGCUUCUGGGAAGUACCAUGGCAGAGAGAUCAGGCCGUCCUGACUUGGACUCUUGGCUCCACAGGCAGUGGUGGGACAAAUACUAACUUCUCUAUACUUCAAUUUUCUCAUUUUAAAAAUCCAAAAAUAACAUGUACCUACUUGGGGAGGGGGGGAUUAAUACCUACUUAAGUGAGCUGUUGUGUACAUAAUGGAUAUUCCAUUUGUUUGCUUCCUUCUUCCUGGUUCAUUUAGCCAUGUUCCUUUUGUUUAAUUCUUAAAACCUCUCUACGGAAGCCCAGCAUUCUUAUUCUUAAACUUUCCUCCUCUGGGACCUGUUUCCUCUACUUAUUUGGGAAAGUAGCCUCAUAAAUGAAUCUCUGAGGUAGGAAAAGGAACGAUCAUUGCUUGUUCUGGAGGUUAGCUCUUAACAGGGAAAUGUGGAAGUCAGAAUGCAGAGAAGAAACCUCAGACCCUGAAUUUUCACGCCUGUGCAAACCCAGUGGCAAAGGUUGAGGAUUGGAAGAACCAUAUGAAGCACCCCACCAGGCUGGGGUCCCCUGAUGACAAAAUGACUUUUUUCCAACUUGGGCAUCUGACCCUUAGAACCAGGGAAUGGCCACCUGCUCUGUGUCCAGUUCUAAACUCAGACCUUGCAACAGAAGGUAACCAACCUGACUGGUAUCCAUGAGGACACAGGUUUGAUUCCCAGCCUCGCGCAGUUGGUUAAGGAUCUGGCAUUGCCGUGAGCUGUGGUAUAGUUGCAGACAUGGCUUGGAUUCUGCAUUGCUGUGGCUGUGGCAUAAGCCAGCAGCUGUAGCUCCGAUUAGACCUCUAGCCUGGAAUUUCCAUAUGCCGUGGGUGUGGGC
rnacentral:lncRNA from 1 species